GGGCUCGUAGCUCAGUUGGUUAGAGCGCACGGCUGAUAACCGUGAGGUCAUUGGUUCGACUCCAAUCGGGCCCACCA
rnacentral:tRNA from 1 species